GCAAGCCUGACGGAGCAACGCCGCGUGAGGGAUGGAGGCCUUUGGGCUGUAAACCUCUUUUCUCAAGGAAGAAGAUCUGACGGUACUUGAGGAAUAAGCCACGGCUAAUUCCGUGCCAGCAGCCGCGGUAAUACGGGAGUGGCAAGCGUUAUCCGGAAUUAUUGGGCGUAAAGCGUCCGCAGGCGGCCGUUUAAGUCUGUUGUUAAAUCGUGGAGCUCAACUCCAUCACGGCAAUGGAAACUGUUCGGCUUGAGUAUGGUAGGGGCAGAGGGAAUUUCCGGUGUAGCGGUGAAAUGCGUAGAUAUCGGGAAGAACACCAGUGGCAAAAGCGCUCUGCUGGGCCAUUACUGACGCUCAUGGACGAAAGCCAGGGGAGCGAAAGGGAUUAGAUACCCCUGUAGUCCUGGCCGUAAACGAUGAACACUAGAUGUUGGGGGAAUCGACCCCUUCGGUGUCGUAGCUAACGCGUUAAGUGUUCCGCCUGGGGAGUACGCACGCAAGUGUGAAACUCAAAGGAAUUGACGGGGGCCCGCACAAGCGGUGGAGUAUGUGGUUUAAUUCGAUGCAACGCGAAGAACCUUACCAAGGCUUGACAUCCUGUGAAUCUCCAAGAAAUUGGAGAGUGCCUUCGGGAACGCAGUGACAGGUGGUGCAUGGCUGUCGUCAGCUCGUGUCGUGAGAUGUUGGGUUAAGUCCCGCAACGAGCGCAACCCACGUUUUUAGUUGCCAGCAUUCAGUUGGGCACUCUAGAAAGACUGCCGGUGACAAACCGGAGGAAGGUGUGGACGACGUCAAGUCAUCAUGCCCCUUACGCCUUGGGCUACACACGUACUACAAUGCUGCGGACAAAGAGUAGCGAUCUUGCGAAAGUUAGCUAAUCUCGUAAACCGUGGCUCAGUUCAGAUCGUAGGCUGCAACUCGCCUACGUGAAGGAGGAAUCGCUAGUAAUCGCAGGUCAGCAUACUGCGGUGAAUACGUUCCCGGGCCUUGUACACACCGCCCGUCACACCAUGGAAGUUGGCC
rnacentral:rRNA from 1 species